rnacentral:rRNA from 1 species
GACGAACGCUUGCGACGUGCCUAAGAAAUGCAAGUCGAACGGGGUAGCAAUACCUAGUGGCGAACGGUCGCGUAACACGUGGGCAACCUGCCCUGAAGCGGGGGACAACAACUCGAAAGAGUUGCUAAUACCGCAUGUGGAUCGCUCUGGCAUCAGAGAUUAUCCAAAGCCGCAAGGCACUUCAGGAUGGGCCCGCGGCCUAUCAGCUAGUUGGUGAGGUAAUGGCCCACCAAGGCUUCGACGGGUAGCUGGUCUGAGAGGACGAUCAGCCGGAUUG